CCAGAGACUAACUCCUUUCCUACUUGUUCGGGAUUGCGAUGCAGAAGAAGUAUUCUGGUAAGUAAUUUUUUUCCUCUCUCGGAUUUUGGCGGGCUCGCUUUAAAGAUGUCGAAAAGCGUUAACUGGCUCUACGUUUCUGCAGUGAAAAGAAUAAAUCGUAGCAUUCCACCCGCCUCUGACCCAUUAUCGUUAAGACUGGAUCUAGUAAUUCAUUCAUUAAAUUUUAUUAUCUUCUACGGUCGUUAGCCAUCCUCCCUUCGAUGACGAAAAGACCGGUGGAGAAAUGCCGCCACUUCCUCCCCAUUUUGUGCUUUUCUGUCGACCCAGUUAUUUUAUUAGCAGAAAUCAGGAGGAUUACGAGUGGUCUUUCGAUCCCGUGAACGGCGAAUCACGUUAUACCAAUGUGUGAUAUAAAGUAGCCCAUUUCAUCCGAUCUUGCACCCCUGCUUUGGAUCGACCAACCGGAAAGAAACCAGGGCCGAAAGGGCCAUGCUAUCCGAUAUUGGAAUGCUGGAGGUUAAGAAGUCGAGUCAGACUACACUUUAUUCGCCUUUCCGGCGAAAGAAACGCUGGGGUGUCACCGGAUCGCGCGUGAUCAAUGGCCUGUGAGCCACAUUUGUUUUGGUCACGUGACGGGAUGUGGGGUCAAGGAAAAACGAUGCAGGUGUUGGAGCUGCAAAUUUAUACAAAAGGUGGCCGGAGGGCUCGUCAAUCUUGCCGCUUUCGAUCAACCCUGUCAUCCUGUGGGCCGGCCAGGCUUUCCUCCCCCACUCGCCCGGCUGGCAGGCGUCCUUCUGGCAGGUGCCCUCCGCUCUGCUCCCGUCCUUUCGCUCGACUUCUUAAUUCCUGUGGCAGCUCCUACCUGCAUUUUCCCCGAUGAUUGGUUUUAUCGCAUUUUCUUCCGGGAAAAGUGGCCCGACAAGAUACUUCGCCAUAGUCGCUUUUCUUCCUUAGCUGGGGGCUGUGACGUAACAAUAGACUAUGACGCAACAAUAGACUGGGUACUCCUAGAAGAUAAGGAUGUUGUCUGAAAUGCUAUUCAUUCUGUCACCGAAAAUUGUCAACACUCAUAUAUUUAUAAACGAUCUUAUUUUAUGCCUACAAAAUAUAUUCAUAAAUUUACAAAUAUCGACAUAACUAUUAAAUCCUAUUUGCCAGAUAACUAAUAAUUAUCAUCAGUUAUCUGGCAACACGAUAAUU
rnacentral:lncRNA from 1 species